AUUACAAUAAUUGUAAUCUCUUUCCCUGUUAUUACUCCCUCAUCUUGGGAUAUAUAGUCUAAUACUCAGUAAUAAUCCUCACUACAAUAUAUACAGUAUUUCAACAUUGUAACUGUUAAAGUUAAAGAUAUAGUGUGGUAUGAGACUGUAAAAGCUGUCCACCUUUUUUCUUUUUAUCAUUUUUGGGGUGGAUAAUCAAAACUUGAGUUUAAUAAAAAUGAUUACAGUGUUUCACUCCCCCCAACAGGCUAAUGCGUUUGUAAGAAAUGUUUUUGAGCUUGGACCCCCAAUGAUGGUUGAUGCGGCAACCCUAAAGGCAAUGAAAAUCUCCCGUUUUGAGAGGCACUUGUAUAAUGCUGCUGCCUUUAAAGCUCGGACUAAGGCCAGGAAUAAGUUUCGGGACAAAAGGGUGGACAUCGGAGAAUUCAUUUAAACAUCUAUAGGUUUCAGCACAUCAUUUUAACUCGCCUUAUUU